rnacentral:rRNA from 1 species
AGAAUCAACGCUGGCGGCGUGCCUAACACAUGCAAGUCGAACGCGAAAGCCCCGCAAGGGGCAAGUAGAGUGGCAAACGGGUGAGUAACACGUGGGUGACCUGCCUUCGAGUGGGGGAUAACGUCCCGAAAGGGACGCUAAUACCGCAUGACAUCCUGCCUUUGGAAAGGUGGAGAUCAAAGCCGGGGAUCGCAAGACCUGGCGCUUGAAGAGGGGCCCGCGCCUGAUUAGCUAGGUUGGUAGGGUAACGGCCUACCAAGGCGACGAUCAGUA